UGUGUUUUUCCUCUUUUCCUCCUUCCUGCAGCUCCAUCUUCAUCAUUCUGUGUCCAGUAUAUGUGAACACGUCCAAAGCAUCUGAGCCUCAUGUUACCCGUUUGUGUGUCUGCCCAACAAGGACGUGGUGCUGAAUGCAUCCAGACCCCUGCUGACUGUCUUUGCAGCUUCGGUCAAAGGUACAGUGUCCACUGUGACCCUGAGAGCAGGACACAGCCAGAGAUGGCAGAUCCAGGCUCUCAGCCUCCAGCUGAAACUUCCAGUCCUCCCCCAGCCAGAAGCUCUGAUGCU